rnacentral:snRNA from 1 species
UUGUUUUAACUGUCUAACUAAUAUUGGAAUGAUACAGAGAAGAUUAGCAUGGCCCCUGGGCAAGGAUGAAACGCAAAUUCGCGAAGCAUUCUAUAUUUUU